rnacentral:lncRNA from 1 species
AAAGAGAAUAGAGAAACGGAUGACCCAUCCAGCACCGUGGCAAAUUCAGAUGGCCCCAAAAGAGUGGAGAGGAGUAUGAGAAAAGGGAAAUCCAGACUCGACAGGCUUCAGACACCAUCUAUGCUUCCAUCUCAGUUGGCUUCUCAUCAUGAUCACGAGAUCAAUGCUUCUAUUACAACAGUCACAUGAAAGAAAAUCCAAUGUAAGAAGAGGCACUAUUCUUCUGAUUUAGUCAGAGGGGAAAUGCCACCUGAGGUCUGAGCGCACAUGUGACAGAAAUCCUGGGAGAGAAGCACCGUCGUGAACUUGUUCUUGAAGGAAGUGAGGGGUCUGCAUAGGCCGAGAAAUUGGGAUUCGUGGCAGCAGGAGUGGCCGUGAUCUAGGGAUGAGUGCCAGCGAGCAAGAAAGAGGCAGAGCUGACCGGACUCCGCAAGAGGAGGGUUGUAUUUAGGAUCCAUGACAAAUAAGUACUUAAACGUAAGAAUGAGAAAUUGGGGGCUGGUCACAUAAUCUUGGAAUAAUUGGGAGAAGAUGCAUUUAUCUUUCUCCCAUACUCAGGAGUUGAGUGGCCUGGAUUUGUUUCAGGGGCUGUAACAAUUCAUUUUAGAUCGGCCGGGCCAUGGCACCCAGUCGUUUGGUCCAGCACCAGUUUAGAGGUGGUUUGUUCCGUGAGACUAGCAUUUAAGUCAGCAGAGUUUUGAGUAACGCAGGUGCCCUCCGUAAUGUUUGGGUCUCAUCCAAUCAGAUGGGGGCCUUAAGAGAGACUGGCUGAGGUUCCCCAGAUUCUACCUCCAGGCUGCCUUUGCAUCGACUGCAGCAUCAGGUCUUCCCGGGGUCCAGCCUGUUGGCCUGCCUGCAGCUUUUGGACUUGCCAGCCUCCAUGAGCCAUUUCCUGAAAGUAAAUCUCUCUGUGUAUUUAUUUAGGCUGCUGUUCUGCUUCUUUGGAGAACCGCUCUGGCCAAUACAAUGGCUAAUAGUCCAGUGCCAGCUCUGAAUUCCUCUUGCCUCCUUCUUGCCCGCAACCCAAAUCGGCUUCCAGCUAAUUCUUAAUGUGUGGAAAAAUAGGCAAUUUAUGUUAAGGUGUUGUUGACGUGAAGUGGAUAGGGCAUUGUAGUGCCUCUUAAACAACGAUAAUGCCUUCAGGCCAAAAGAGAGGAGUGCUAAAAGGUUAGCGGAUUGUACCAUACAUAUGCA